CGCCCGGAAGGAUCCCGUGGGGGGAAUCCACCCGGGACAAGGGAAGCGCCCCGCACUCUGGA
rnacentral:ncRNA from 1 species